rnacentral:tRNA from 2 species
GGCAGGAUAGAGUAAAGGAAAUUCGUUAGGCUCAUUACCUAAAGAUGAUGGUUCGACUCCAUCUCCUGCAUCCA